rnacentral:rRNA from 1 species
GACGUAGGGCGCGAGCGUUUGUCCGGAUUUAUUGGGCGUAAAGAGCUCGUAGGCGGUUCGGUAAGUCGGGUGUGAAACCUCCAGGCUCAACCUGGAGACGCCACCCGAUACUGUCGUGACUGGAGUCCGGUAGGGGAGUAUGGAAUUUCCGGUGUAGCGGUGAAAUGCGCAGAUAUCGGGAAGGAACACCAGUAGCGGAAGGCGGAUACUCUGGGGCCGGGAACUG